CGGGACCAAAGGAGUAGCCGGCCAAUCGGCUGUGCUGUCAGUGGGCAUGGUGGCCAAUAAGAACAGGGAGUGGGGUCCCGGGACUAGAGGAAACGACGAUCCGGACGGGGCUACGGGACCAUGGGUCUUUUGACCAUCCUGAAGAAGAUGAAGCAGAAAGAACGGGAGCUGCGACUGCUCAUGCUCGGCUUGGACAAUGCUGGCAAAACCACCAUCCUCAAGAAGUUCAAUGGGGAAGACGUGGACACCAUCUCCCCGACACUGGGGUUCAACAUCAAGACCCUGGAGCACCGGGGGUUCAAACUGAACAUUUGGGAUGUGGGUGGCCAGAAGUCUCUGCGCUCCUACUGGCGGAACUACUUCGAGAGCACCGACGGCCUCAUAUGGGUGGUGGACAGUGCUGACCGGCAACGCUUGCAGGAUUGCGCAAGGGAGCUGCAGGGCCUGCUGGUGGAAGAGUCAACAGGGUCCAGGCUGCCCUCAGAGCCCCAGCCACCCGCAUCUUCUUUCCCCAGCGCCUGGCUGGAGCUACCCUCCUCAUCUUCGCCAACAAGCAGGACCUGCCCGGAGCACUGUCCUCUAAUGCCAUUCAAGAGGCCCUGGAGCUGGACUCUAUCCGCAGCCACCACUGGUGCAUUCAGGGCUGCAGCGCUGUCACUGGGGAGAACCUGCUGCUGGGCAUCGACUGGCUGCUGGACGACAUCUCCAGUCGCAUCUUCACAGCUGACUGAGUCACUCCAGAUGUCCCCGUCUCGUGGCCCAGGCUCCAGCCCUCACCCACACCACCCAAAGGGCAUGGGUGCCAGCCAGUGGACUAACACGCCACCCCCUGUCCACCAGAACCUGCUGCUGCUGCUGCCCAGUGCCCUCCCAGGGCCAAGGAGGAAAGCACUGGGGCUGGGAGGGGGCACUGCUGCUGCUACUGAGGCCUCUCCUCAUCCUGCACUGUGCCAGGCCCCCUUGUACAGUGGACAACCUGCAUACCUGUAUGAGGCAUCACAGUUCAAGCAGAAGCAUGAAGAGCAAGGGCUCCUGGGAAAUGUGAGGCGAGCAGCUCACUCCAAGCUACCUGGCUAGAAUGGGAGCUGAGCCCAGACCCCAGCACACUCGGCCCUUCCACAUUGCUGCCUCGAGUGAGAGCCCAGGCCUGACCAUCUCUGCUUGAAAUCCAAAUGGCAGGUUCCCUCCUCGCUUCCCCCAGAGGAAGGACCCACUGCAGGGCCUCCAGAGGCCCACAGCACAGACCCCCUCCCAGACUGCACAAAAGCUGGCUCUCAUCAGGGCAGAAGGAAAAAGGAUGCAGGAUGCACACGAGCAAACCGCCCUUCCAUGCCCAAUAUCCGAGCUCCUGGAAAAACACUCUUCAUGGGCAAGGGGAGUUCUGCAGUCAGGGAUCUGCCAAGGGCAAGAUUUUGCUCAUCAGAGGUCUGUGGUGGAGUCUGGGCUGGGGCGGGAAGUCUCCAUAGCAUGGUCAGGCAGAGUCUUUCCUCUCUCCUCUUCCUGCCAGCUGGGUUUGCACCUCCUGGUGACCAGGCAGGUGCAGCUGGAGAAGGCCAGGGGCUACACUGCUAUAGAUGGGAAGAGCUUGGACAACAGGAGAAGGAAGAGGAAGAUUGGGGAGCAUGGGAUACACCAGCCAGAGGGAAGGAUGUGAGCAAGAAGACUUGGAGCCAGGGCUUGCCAGAUACAGUCUUGCUAUAUAGACCAGGCUCACCUUGAACUUACUGUGUGUCGGAAACUGGCAUUGAACUUGCAAUCUUCCUGCCUCAGCCUCCAGAGUACUGGGAUUACAGGGUGCCCUUCCCCCCAAAAAAGGAUGUCAGCCUUUGGAGUGGCCAGAGUGGGGAAGGGGUACUGUGGCUGACAGCUAAACUGCACCUCCUGUCCGAGUGUCUGGAAGGAGACUGGCUGCUGGAGAAGACACUGAGGCAAAUUGUCGCAGUCCAUUUUAGGAGCAAGAGGAGGCUAAGUUCAUCUCAAAGAAAGACCCUGAGGAUAUCAAAGAGGUGGUGGUCUGGAAGCGGUACAGUGACUUCCGCAAGCUACAUGGGGACCUGGCCUACACCCACCGCAACCUCUUCCGACGCCUUGAGGAGUUCCCAGCCUUCCCCCGUGGCCAGGUGUUU